UUGCUCUUCAACGAGGAAUACCUAGUAAGCGUGAGUCAUCAACUCGCGUUGAUUACGUCCCUGCCCUUUGUACACACCGCCUGUCGCUACUACCGAUUGAAUGGCUUAGUGAGGCCUCCGGACUGGCAUUGGGGAGCCGGCAACGGCACCCCUUGGCUGGGAAGUUGUACAAACUUGGUCAUUUAGAGGAAGUAAAAGUCAUAACAAGGUUUCCGUAGGUGAACCUGCGGAAGGAUCAUUAGUGAUUUGGCCGAGAGGCCUUUAAUCCAAAUCCUCAACACCUGUGAACUUGUCGGUGGGCUUCGGCCCGCCGGUCUUUUACAACACUAUGUGUCAUGAACGUGAAUGUAUUUAUAACAAAAACAAAACUUUCAACAACGGAUCUCUUGGCUCUCGCAUCGAUGAAGAACGCAGCGAAAUGCGAUAAGUAAUGUGAAUUGCAGAAUUCAGUGAAUCAUCGAAUCUUUGAACGCACCUUGCGCCUCUUGGUAUUCCGAGAGGCAUGCCUGUUUGAGUGUCAUGAAACAUCAAUCCCCACGGGUUUUUCGGAACCGGUGGUCGGACUUGGAGUUGGGCGUCUGCCUCCCCAGGCUCGCCUCAAAUGACUUAGUGGUCGUCUUCUUGACUCAUGCCUGACGUAAUAAGUUUCGUCUCGGCCGGUCCUGAGGCCCGCUCAUAACCCCCCAAUAUCUUUUGACAUUGACCUCAGAUCAGGUAGGGAUACCCGCUGAACUUAAGCAUAUCAAUAAGCGGAGGA
rnacentral:rRNA from 1 species